rnacentral:lncRNA from 1 species
UUGGGCUGGGGUAUGGCAGUGGAAGAGGACAUGUUUCAAGGGGGAGGAGCUGGGUUUGAUCCCUAAUGCAUAUGCACAGGUGUGUAUACAUACACACACACACACACACACACACUACACACUCUUUGGGGGAGACUAGGUCAAUUUAAAUUAAACUUCUCAAGGGAGGCCAUGCCUUCAAUAUUAUAUAAACAAAAUACUUAGAAAUUUGAAAAGCAUAAGGUAAGUUGGUAAAAUAUGUUGAAGCACCACAGUGCCUCAUCUGCUACUGGAGAACUACUUGAAAAGUAAUAUGUAGGUAAGCUGAGAUGUUUUAAAAAGUGUUAUUUUACCUUGUGAAGAGCUGUUUUUAUGCUGUAUACCAUGACUGUCAGAAGUACAUGAACCAUUCUCUUGAAAAUCCUUACUUUGUUUUUUUUUUUUUCUGUAUGUGUGUGUGUGUGUGUGUGUGUGUGUGUGUGUGUGUGUGUGUGGUGAUGACAAAAGAAGCAAUGAAGGCAGAAGACCUCUGUUGUGAAACCAUUACUUAGAAAAACAAUACAGAACUGUCUGUAGUUCAGACUUGGGUAGCCACUUAUGAAACAAUAUUUGCCACCUGUCUGUGACUUCCUAUGAAUAUACUAUGACAAAAUUAUUUUUCCUCCUUAUAAUUUGAUUAAAAGUUACUUUGUAAAGCAUUUUAUUUUUUAUUUUUAUUUUUAUUUUUUUUUUUGUUUUUCUCCGGUACCGGGAACCGAACUCACGACCUUGCGCUUGCCAGGCAGGCGCUUUUGCUGCUGAGGUAAAUGCCCAGCCCCUGUAAAGCAUUUUAGAAUUAAAACUGAAAUGACU